ensembl:lncRNA
UUUAUCUCCCUAAGCAGGAGUCAUUCAUUACUUUAUCUCCCUGAGCACGAGUCAUUCCAUUACUUUAUCUCCCUGAGCAGGAGUCAUUCAUUACUUUAUCUCCCUGAGCAGGAGUCAUUCCAUUACUUUAUCUCCCUAAGCAGGAGUCAUUCCAUUACUUUAUCUCCCUGAGCAGGAGUCAUUCCAUUACUUUAUCUCCCUGAGCUGGAGUCAUUUCAUCCACUACACAACCAUUCCAACAUUUUCCCUUUGUCUUCCACAGGUGUUCCAUUUGAGGUGGAAAGACAGUGAACUGGGGCAGUGAUACAUUUGGAUUCAACCUCCAGAACAGCUGAAUAACCUCCGUACAUCUUGAAUGCUGCUUCACUAUCUCCCAAAACCCUUCACCCCUCAGGGUAUUCUGGUUUAACCCUUCACCCCUCAGGGUAUUCUGGUUUAACCCUUCACCCCUCAGGGUGUUCUGUUCAGCCGUUCACCCCUCGGGGUGUUCUGUUCACCCCUCGGGGUGUUCUG